UCUGCAGAGUGGAACGACUUGUGGUCAAUCAUGUUCUGUGGUAGAGGUGGAAUUCGAGUUUUUCUGUGAAGCAGACUUGGAAGAAAGUUCCAGCAAUUCUAGGAAUUAACACGCACCAGAAGAAGGCCCAGCGACCACGGAACCCUUGGAAUUUCUAUCCGUUCCGGAGGAAAGGCCACCGCGGGCCGGUGUCCCGCGCCUCGGCCUCGUGGCAGAAACACGAUCGCGACGCUGUGGUCCAUCCCAAGUGCUCGACUGUUCCAAUGGUAGGGAGAGGCGGCGCGGGCCGGUGCUUCUCUGUGAUUGGUGAUCCCCAAGGCAGACUCAAACCCAGGCGGUGAAUUUGGAAUCUUUUCUAGUCCGAUCUGAGGAAUAUUAUUUUCGGAAGGCAAUUUUUGCCCAAUGAUUUGUUCCCCUUAA